rnacentral:lncRNA from 1 species
AAUAGGCAUCAUGCCAUAUAGUAUGCAUAAAUUUGAUUAUGUUGACAGUGUUGGAAUUUCCAGUAAAAAUAUGCCAAGUCUUCAACUGUAUUUAAAUAUCUCUUGUAAAAAAAAUAUUCCACUGAUUUAGCUAAGAGCUAUAGAUCACACACAUACAUAUACAAAACCACAGCCAAAGUGCAGCAUCUACAUCCUUCUCUAUUUUUUUGUUAACUGUGAAACACUUUGCCUUAUAACAACAUUUUGGCCAGAGCUGGUAAACCACCUUAUCCCCUCCUCUCUCCAAUAGCAGAAAUAGUAUAAUUAAUAAGAAAUGGAAAACCUAAGCCAUGUUAAAUUUUCUUUGAUUCAGGAUUAACAGUCAAGAAAUAGUUAAUGAAACAAGGUAAAAAGCACCCUGGCAAUCACUGAGGGUAGUUCCAGAAAGCAAGGAAGAAGUGGCUUCUUUGGUUAUCUGUUGAUAUCAUACAUUAAUCAGGGAUAAGCCCUGCUCUUACUAUAAUUUAAACUAGGUCAGAAUGGAGCAUUCCCAACAAUUUGCUGAAUAAAAGAAGCUUUGAGUGGACUCUACGAAGCCUAGGGUCCUUUCUCUCAGAAGUAUACAAUUCCCACAGACCAGCCUAAAAAGAAGUGUUGAUGUCUCCUUGCAUGACAAAGUGACUGAACAGGGGGAUGUCUUUUUGUGGAAUUUUUGAUUAGGAGACAGCGAUUAAACUAGAUCUAAAUAAGUGAGCCAGUGGGUAAUAUUCCUUCAGAGCUAGGAUGACCAAUUUUACCUGACUACAUACUGACACAGAAAGAAGUAUCUGCAAAGAGACAAGAAAAUAGCAUGACAGAGAGAGAGAGAGAGGAGGGUAGGGGGAGAACACAUACACAGAGUAACCUCCUGGUCCCAGAAACACAGAAACUUACCACCUGACCUAUCAAUCCUGAUGUCAGCACAGCUGUACAUCCUAAUUAGAGGUACUGUGAGAUUCCCUGCAUUCAUCCAGUACGCUUUUGUUUGGUCUAGAUUCUGCAUAUCACAACUGAGAUUUCUUGGCCAAGACACUGAUCAAAUAUGCCCCAUGAUACCAUAUUUAUGCUAUUUUUAAAGACUAAAACUCUUUGAAAUCAACAUUUUACUUUUAGCUCAUUGACUGAAUCAAUGGGUGAUACUAAGGCAAAACAUUUAUAAUUCUACACUUCUGUAUUCCUGCCCUUAAACAUGCUUAAAUUUCCAUCACAAUGCUUUGACUCACAGGUCAGAAGUUAGGACAAAUACUAAAGCUACUUGAAAAACAGGCAAACUGUGCAUAAUUCAAUGAUGUUACUAAGCAGAUGCUAGCUUGGGGGCAUUCUGAGCAGUGCUGGCACCUUUAAAUAGCAAAUAUAGCUUCUAAGGCUGCCCAACUACUGACACAGCAGGGUUUAUCUACUGGGAGGCUGUGACUCACUUAUUCUCCCAACUCCCCUAUGUAAUCUGACACAAUGUAUCCCCAAGAUACUUCCUGCUGCUAAUGCUUCUAUUUCUAUCUUGGAGCCUUUUAAUUUGUAUUUUCCCCAAAUGGCUUAUGUCUGCUUGUCAAGUGGGAUUCUCACCUUACUUGGAACUACUGGCUCUUUGAUAAGGAUGAGCAGGCUGGCAAGAAGAGCUGGCAUGCCACAGAAACCUGUGUAAGCAAUCAACAGCUUCUUUACAGCCAAGUGUGAUUUUUCUGCAGCGCCAGCCGAAAGCAGCUCAGCACAACUGUCUCCUGCUAACAUCUGAUUUUCAUACACAAAAUCCCCAUUAGUACCUUUACCACCUUAUAAAAGAUAAGAGUUUGGGGUGCAACUAGCUGCUCCUACAUCACCCUCGUGGGGGCAUUUCUUGAAUCCUAUGUGCAUAAUCCCUUAAGUGGUACUUAGGGUUUAACAACAUUCAGUUUCUGCCCACCUAUAAGAAUACGAACAGUGAUUUUGAAUCCUGGCCCCAGAAUCAAGAUGGAACUGAGACUGAAUCCCAACUCUACCAAAGAUAUACUGAGAGAUACUGGGAAACUUAAUCACUCUGAACCUCGAUUUUUUUAAUCAAAUAAAUAAAAUGUUAGAACACACCUAUAGGUAAGAUUGAAAGUAUCAAAGACAAAUAUGUGUUUGUAAGAAUUAAGAACUGCCUGGCAUACCAUAAGGUACUCAAAAUAUGUAAGCUGCUGCACAUGAAAACUCCCAUUUCUGCUGAAUAAAACUCAAUGUCAUUUGGUUAAGGGAAGAUCAUCUUCCUUCUGUCCUUGAGGGAGGGGGAAAAAAAAAAAAAAAAAAAAAAA